CCCUUGUACACACCGCCCGUCACACCAUGGGAGUGGGUUGCAAAAGAAGUAGGUAGCUUAACCUUCGGGAGGGCGCUUACUACUUUGUGAUCAUGACUGGGGUG
rnacentral:rRNA from 1 species